rnacentral:misc_RNA from 1 species
GAUGAAGAACGUAGUGAAAUGCGAUAAUUAAUGUGAAUUGCAGAAUUCAGUGAAUCAUCGAGUCUUUGAACGCCCAUUGCGCCCCCUGGUAUUCCGGGGGGCAUGCCUGUCCGAGCGUCAUUGCUGCCCUCAAGCACGGCUUGUGCGUUGGGCUUCCGUCCCUGGCAACGGGGACGGGCCCAAAAGGCAGUGGCGGCACCAUGUCUGGUCCUCGAGCGUAUGGGGCUUUGUCACCCGCUCCCGUAGGUCCAGCUGGCAGCUAGCCUCGCAACCAAUCUUUUUAACCAGGUUGACCUCGGAUCAGGUAGGGAUACCCGCUGAACUAAAGCAUAUCAAUAAGCGGAGGA